GGGGGGGACUCGUAGUAAAAUAAAAAAAAUGCUUUAAUGAUUUGGGUCAAUGCACUGAAAAAAGUGGAUACUUUAUCAGAAAGUCAGAGGUCUUUGCCGGCGACAUAGUUGGAAUCUUCAUUCAUUGUGCGGAGGAAUAGUGUUAUGCAUUCACAUGUUAUUGUUGUUAGAAAUAAUAUUGCAAACUUGUUUUGUGUCAUAAUGUUAAAAAUAAUGUCAUUUUACCAUAGUUGCAACUGCGUAAUGGAAUACUAUUAAUCAUAUUGUGCGGAACUGUUGUAAUUCUCUGGCGUUAAAUUAAUUGAGGAUUGACUUAACAACAUGAGUGAUUGUGUUGUAAGUAUAGUAGCAAUCCUACAAAACACUCUAUCAUGAUGUGUUGAAUUUUGUAAUAUUCAUGCUUUUGUCUUUACAGUCAUUUUUUUAAAAUAACUUUCACAUGGGUUUCUAUUUCUAGUUCGAUAUUUUUUAAAGGUUUGUCACUCUAAAUUUUAUAGAUUGUGCUUGGAGCUUUUUGCUACUACACCUACUUAAGUUUAAACAGAAAAUUUAGAACAGAACUAUUGAAAAAAAAAAAAAAUGUUUCAAGUGAAUAGAGAACAGACAAAGAGAUUUUCAAACAACAUAGAUACCCUCUUGAAGGGGAAACAAAUAUAUAUAUAUAUAUAUAUAUAUAUAUAUAUAUAUAGUCCUAGGUAAUGGGCUUUAAUCAAAAUUAAAAAAGAAAAAAAAUGUAAAUCCACUCUACAUAACAUCAAUCCAAUUAAAACUGCAAGGAACAAAACAUCUAUUUAGCUUACAACCUUAUACCUAUACCAUGUUAGCAUCAUUUGGAUAUGUUACAAGAAACCCAAGAGUGUAAUGUUUUAGCUACUACAUAAGAUUCCAAUACUCAUCAACAAUGCAUUCAAGCAACAUCAAAAGAAAAAAAAUGCAACAAUUUUUACAUAACCAACUAUUGACAAAAUUAACCAACUAUUUUGAAACCUUUGUAUAAGUCAUUAAAAGACUUGGAGGCAACUAAAAAAACACCUUGGUAAAAAAAUAGACACAACAAGGCAUAGGAACAAACAAUCACAUCUCUCUACUAUUUAUUUAUUUAUUUAUUUAUUUUAAUAAGAACCAAUUGGAAAUUUGACAUGCUUUAGGAAGGAGCAACAAUAUUUGGUUCUAAUCUCACAAUCAUCAAUUUAUUAUAAGCAUUAGUGCUCUAAUAACAUUGCAUGGCAUUGCUUAGCUUUUUUGUCACCUUACUAUUAUGUCACAACCAGUUAACAAGAC
rnacentral:lncRNA from 1 species